AGUGAACGCUGGCGGUAGGCCUAACACAUGCAAGUCGAACGGCAGCACAGGAGAGCUUGCUCUCUGGGUGGCGAGUGGCGGACGGGUGAGGAAUACAUCGGAAUCUGCCCAGUCGUGGGGGAUAACGUAGGGAAACUUACGCUAAUACCGCAUACGACCUUCGGGUGAAAGAGGGGGAUCGCAAGACCUCUCGCGAUUGGAUGAGCCGAUGUCGGAUUAGCUAGUUGGCGGGGUAAUGGCCCACCAAGGCGACGAUCCGUAGCUGGUCUGAGAGGAUGAUCAGCCACACUGGAACAGAGACACGGUCCAGACUCCUACGGGAGGCAGCAGUGGGGAAUAUUGGACAAAGGGCGCAAGCCUGAUCCAGCCAUACCGCGUGGGUGAAGAAGGCCUUCGGGUUGUAAAGCCCUUUUGUUGGGAAAGAAAUCUUUCAGGCUAAUACCCUGGGAGGAUGACGGUACCCAAAGAAUAAGCACCGGCUAACUUCGUG
rnacentral:rRNA from 1 species